GCCAUUUAAAAAUAGAAGCUGGAGAGUCAUCCACAACUAAGCCUACAGAACCACAAUUGAGAUAAAAGACCAGAAGUAUUUGCUGUGAACGAUGGUGUGGCUUUCUUUCACUGAGCACUUUUAAUUAUGAAGAAGAAGGUACUUAUCGGAAGCCCGGCUUUGACUGAUGAAGGAGCAAAUGAAGUGAAUGUAAGGACAUAAGGAGAACACUGGAUGCUGUGACGUGAAUGUCAACCAAAGGAAGUGUAAUCAAACCUAAAUUAAUGUCUCUGGUAAUCAACUCUCA